rnacentral:rRNA from 1 species
AUUGAACGCUGGCGGAAUGCUUUACACAUGCAAGUCGAACGGUAGAGGGGGCAACCCCUCGAGAGUGGCGAACGGGUGAGUAAUAUAUCGGAACGUGCCCAGUCGUGGGGGAUAACGUAGCGAAAGUUACGCUAAUACCGCAUACGAUCUACGGAUGAAAGCGGGGGAUCGCAAGACCUCGCGCGAUUGGAGCGGCCGAUAUCAGAUUAGGUAGUUGGUGGGGUAAAGGCUCACCAAGCCAACGAUCUGUAGCUGGUCUGAGAGGACGACCAGCCACACUGGAACUGAGACACGGUCCAGACUCCUACGGGAGGCAGCAGUGGGGGAAUUUUGGACAAUGGACGCAAGUCUGAUCCAGCCAUUCCGCGUGCAGGAUGAAGGCCCUCGGGUUGUAAACUGCUUUUGUACGGAACGAAAAGGUCUCUAUUAAUACUAGGGGCUCAUGACGGUACCGUAAGAAUAAGCACCGGCUAACUACGUG